UAGCCCAGGACCUCCACAUCCGGCUUCUUCACCUGUGGGAUCGUCUGAGACUAGCCAACUGGACAGCUGAUGAAACUGGGUUUGCACAAAAAAAUUAUUUGUGCACAAACUGUCAGAAACCGCCUCAGGGUAGAUCAUCAGUAUGCUCGUCGUCCUCACCAGGGUCCUGACCUGACUGCAGUUUGGCGUCGUAACCCACUUCAGUGGGCAAAUGCUCACCUUCGAUGGCCACUAGCACAAUGGAGAAGUGUGCUCUUCACAGAUGUAUCCUGGUUUCAACUAUACCGAGAUGAAUGAGUAGAUGAUAUAGAGUACAGUAUAUACGUAUACAUAUGAGAUGAAUGAGUAGAUGAUAUAGAGUACAGUAUAUACGUAUACAUAUGAGAUGAAUGAAUUAUAUGAACUGUAACUCAGUAAAAUCUUUGAAAUUGUUGCAUGUUGCAUUUAUAUUCUGGUUCAGUGUAGUAUUUGUACCCAGGUCUGAUCCAUACUCCUCUGUGACGUCAUGUAUAUGCUGUGACAGCAAACGUGCUGAACCCAGGUCUGAUCCAUACUCCUCUGUGACGUCAUGUAUAUGCUGUGACAGCAAACGUGCUCUGAAAUACUCUUCAUGUCUCUGAAACAAUAAAACCUUCAUGAGUAA